GCUCUGCUGCGUGAGCUGCCUUCUGUCUUUUUGCAUUUUGUUAAGCAAUCAGCGUAGGAAAGGUGCUGCUCAUGCAAUUGCUAGGGUAGCCGGUUCUAUGUCUGAUAUGAUUGAAUAUGGUAUGUCCUCCAUCCUUCGAUUUAAUAUAAUUACUAUUUCAUUAAAAAAGAAAAAAAAGAAAUACGGGCAAAAAAAAAAAACUAACUGGUGACGGUUGAUGAGGAAGGUUAAACCGUAACUACUGGCCCAGGCCCAACUAAGAACCUAAAAGUUUGAUUAGGGUUUUUCUGGGAGUUAUCUUGUUCCCUAUAUAAUCAACCCGAAGCAAGUAUCUGUGCAACAGCAGCUUUGAAGAGGAAGAUAUGUCAGUAUCACUGGAAGCUUUGGCAAUGGCAGGGGCAGAUUAUGCAGAGUGUAAGAUAGAUAUUGGAUGGUGGGAAAAAAGGAACAGAGAUUUGCCAACCUAUCUGUUAGCUGAAAGGUACAUCCAAAACAGGAAUAACGACUACUGUUUCUGUUUAUAUUCCUCUGAUCGCUUAUCAAAUGUAUGCGAGAGAUGCAAGUUCACAACAUAUUCAAGAACUAGUGUUAGAAAGAUGAUUAGCAAGAGUAGCUUAAUUUCUGUGGGAAAGUUCGUGAUGGAAGCAAUAAAAAAAGUUCUUAAGUUAGUGGUACUUAAGUAAAGCUCUCCCAACGAGCAGGUAGAAUUCUUUUAGAUACGUAAUUUCGACUGUUUCUAUUAGAAUUUUCAUUUUUAAUUGUCAUUUCUUCUCUUUCUUAAACUUUUUAUUUUCAACAUGUUUCUAAAUAAAUUGGUUUUAUUUAA